rnacentral:rRNA from 1 species
GGGGUGGAUCAGUGGCGAACGGGUGAGUAACACGUGGGCAAUCUGCCCUGCACUCUGGGACAACUCCGGGAAACCGGGGCUAAUACCGGAUAUGACACAUUCCUGCAUGGGGGUGUGUGGAAAGCUCCGGCGGUGCAGGAUGAGCCCGCGGCCUAUCAGCUUGUUGGUGGGGUGAUGGCCUACCAAGGCGACGACGGGUAGCCGGCCUGAGAGGGCGACCGGCCACACUGGGACUGAGACACGGCCCAGACUCCUACGGGAGGCAGCAGUGGGGAAUAUUGCACAAUGGGCGAAAGCCUGAUGCAGCGACGCCGCGUGAGGGAUGACGGCCUUCGGGUUGUAAACCUCUUUCAGCAGGGAAGAAGCGCAAGUGACGGUACCUGCAGAAGAAGCACCGGCUAACUACGUGCCAGCAGCCGCGGUAAUACGUAGGGUGCGAGCGUUGUCCGGAAUUAUUGGGCGUAAAGAGCUCGUAGGCGGCCUGUCGCGUCGGAUGUGAAAGCCCGGGGCUUAACCCCGGGUCUGCAUUCGAUACGGGCAGGCUAGAGUUCGGUAGGGGAGAUCGGAAUUCCUGGUGUAGCGGUGAAAUGCGCAGAUAUCAGGAGGAACACCGGUGGCGAAGGCGGAUCUCUGGGCCGAUACUGACGCUGAGGAGCGAAAGCGUGGGGAGCGAACAGGAUUAGAUACCCUGGUAGUCCACGCCGUAAACGUUGGGAACUAGGUGUGGGCGACAUUCCACGUCGUCCGUGCCGCAGCUAACGCAUUAAGUUCCCCGCCUGGGGAGUACGGCCGCAAGGCUAA